AAGCGUGGCUGUUCCUGCCCACACUGCAUCCUUGAGGACACCACACCAGGAAGCGUCAGGGCAGGGUGAUCUUCAGUUCUGAGUCACUCAGGCAAAUUACUGAACCUGAGGGGAUGGAGUCAUGGGAACCCCUGAAUGUGUAGUUGGCCAGGAAGAAGUGUGGGUAGCCUGGGCACCCCAUCUGUGACUCCAUCGGAAGUGUGGGACUGAGCCCUUUAAUCUGUGGAACCUGACGCUAGCCCCAGUUGGUGUCAGAGAGCUGGAAAAGUGGUGUCAGAAACCACCACACAGUAUGCGAGGCUGAGGGGAAACGCCAGUGUAAUAACAUGCAACAAGUGUAGGUGGUUUGGGGCCAACAAAGCCCAGGAGGGCUCGGGUUUAGGCUCUGUGGAGCACUGGGGCCGGGCAGGAUGGCUGUAGUGCUGUGGAGAGUUGAGGCUGCCUUAGGGAGGAUUUGGGGGUGAAGAUAGGCCUUGACCUGAGCUGGGUUUGGGGGGAGAAUUAUUAGUGGCCUGAGGGUCUUAGACUGAGGGUCGAGUGUGUCCCUUCCUCCCUGGCUGGGUGAGCAUCUAAGUCACUGCCUCUCAGAGGCUCACGUCCACAACAGUAAAGCAGGGAUGGUCUUGGCCCUCCUGGAGGGCUUCCUGCAAGGGUGUUGGUGAAAUGUGUUUCUAUUUGUGAAGCUGUGCUAGUGCUGUUGCCAUUUUCAUGAGCAGUUACCAAUCAACAAACACCUGUAGCCAGCCCUGCACCGGGCCCACGAUCACCCAGGGAUGAAGUGGUGACCGAAAGCAGGAACAGGCCGGAGCCUUCAGCAGCUAAGAGGUGCAAGGCGGGUGGAGCUGAGGCAGGAACCGAGGUUGGCCCUACACAGCUCCCUGCUCCUCCGCACCACUGCAGCAUGGAUGGGGCAGGCCGAGCAAAGCCACAGCCAGCACAGCCCUCUCUGCUGGUCUCGCCCUCACCUGUGAUACGCGUCAGUGGUUCUGCCUGGGCCUUUCUGCCUCCAGGGCCGGGGGGGCUGCCUGAGUGUGCCCCUCAUCCUCUGCGAUGGUUGACUGCCCUGAGCCAAUGCAGGCAGUGCCGAAGGACCCAGUCCACUCACACAUUCUCAGACAGCUCUGCGCACAGUGACUGGGGCCAGCUCUUGAGUCCUGGCAUCCAACGGCAGGUGGCAGUGCCUUUCCAGUUGCUAGAACAGGCCCUUCCCAACAAAAUCACAGGCCUUCAGCAGCAGAGGCGCCCUCUGCCUGCUAUGAUGAUGGUCACGUCACAGCGUGGACAAUGUGUUGCGCAUCAAAUACCAGAUCUCAAAAGGGGAAGGGGGGUGGGUCACAGAAUGGAGGAAAGACUUACAGAAUGAACAUCCCAGGACCGUCUUAGUAACCUCUGACCAGCACAGAGUGGGUUCUAAUAAAUA
rnacentral:lncRNA from 1 species